GCCUGAGGUGAGAUGCAGACAGAAGCUACACGUGGGUGCGGGUGUUGGGAGUCACACUUGCAAGUCCUCGUUCAAUCAGCUAGAACACUACCAUGACGUGCUACAGGAAUUGUCACCCGGGAUACAAGCACAGGGGCUUUGGUGGCGUCAUCCUGCUCCAAGUGUCACAUUGCAACAUGGUCUGCCGCCUCCUUGGCCCAGAUGGCUUCGGAACAUCACAGUUUGCUGUUUGUUCAAGCAAGCAAGAAGCCUGGCUGAGCAUGAGAAGCAAGCCUGCACGUGGGAAACAGAGCAGUAACAGAAAGAGCAUCCUGGAGAGGAAAUCCACGCUCCGUGACUGUGGAGAAACGAGAGCCAGUCAGACCAGGUGCGACGCCAUUCACACAUGCAGAAUGUGGCCUGGUGCGUGUCCUGGACACAAUUCCAGGUUUCCAGUUGCUUUGGAAUGCCCACUGGCUCAUGGUUUGUAGGCAAAAAUCAGGGCAUAUGGUGGGUGUCUACUCUAAAACAGGUGAAUCCACCAUUGCUAGCCCCAGACUCUAAGCCGAGACACCCUCAUCUCCCACCUGGAAUAUGGCAAAGCCACCUGACCCUGACCCCUGACCCUACCCAGGUCCAUGCUCUAUGCAGCAUCUAGGGUGAGCUUUAUGAGAGGCGCCAAUGCCACUCUCUCGCUCCAGACGUCUCAGUGGCUUCAAGGCCCAGAGUAAAACAAGCAUCCUUUCUUGGAGUCUCCAUGGCCUGGCUGCCACACCUCCAUUUCCUUUGCUUCCCUCCCUCACUCCUUUGUUCUCACCCACCACUGGCCUCUUUUCUCGGCCUUGGUUAAUCUGCCUCACAGACUGUCAUUCACUUUUCUAUUAAUUUUAGCACCUGCCCCUGGAACAUCCAUGGUGUUUGCUCACAUGCUUCUUUAGGGCUGUGGUUAAUCCACCAUACAGAGGAGAAGGCCCAGCAUUUACACAGCACGAUGGAAGGCCUGCACCUGCUCUCCAAGGUGGCCUGGCUCUGCUGAUUUCCCACGACGGCACUGGGCUGGCCCUCCAUGACACGCCCUGUGCACACACUCCCCAGCCUAAUGGGACCAUUCCCAGCUACACAACUAAAAUACAACUCCUGGGAGAGCAAGCACAUUUUCCUUCUUUCCUUUUGUAACGACUGUAUUCCCAGCACCUAAAACAAAGUGUGGUAAAUGAUGUUAAUCAUCCUCUGUCAAAGAAUUUCGGAAUGAAUAUGAAGAACUUCCAGUGAUUUAAAUAUGCUGGUGAAUUUUUUCUAAAGCAUUUAAUACAUUUAACUGGCCAACAAAAUGAAAAGUGACCUUCAUGAACUACAAUAGCAGAUGUAAAAUUUACAUCCUUUCCAUUUAAGACGUCUAGUCUUUGAGGUGUCGGGGAGGCUCAAAGCUGCCUCUCAACAUUAUUCAGUGAACUUCGAAGUAACGGCUGGCACCACUGGCCUCCUUCUCCCUUUCCGGUCAUAUAUAUUUUCUUGCUUUACUAAAGAAUGUCAGCUCUCUGUCUGGAGUAAUUAAAAGGCAGUGUAUUAAAGCAUCAUAUAGAGAGGCUCAGGCUGCUAUUAACGUGGGAAAUAAAAUGAAGAAUUCAACAUUAAAAAGGGAAGUGAAGGGGAAUUCUGCUCAAAGGCAUCACAGAAAGGAAAUCCACAGGCAAGGUUUUGAUGUGCAUUUUCCUGAUGAGGAUUUAGGGGGUGCCACAAAUAACCGGGGUGUCAGGUGACUCAUGCUGCCACGCAAAGCCCCACAGGCUGGACGGCUUAAAUAACAGACCUUUAUUCUCAAAACCCUGAAGGCUGGGCGUCCCAGGCCCAGGUGCCUGCUGAUUGUUUCCAGCAAGUGCUCCCUUCGCAUUGGCAGACUGCAGCCCUCUCACAGUGUCCUCACAGGGCCUUCCCUCUACGUGUGCAGGAAGAGAGUGAGCUCUGG
ensembl:lncRNA